GAUGAAGAACGUAGCGAAAUGCGAUAAGUAGUGUGAAUUGCAGAAUUCAGUGAAUCAUCGAAUCUUUGAACGCACAUUGCGGCCAUAGGUAUUCCUUUGGCCAUGCCUGUUCGAGCGUCAUUUACACCCUCAAGCCUAGCUUGGUGUUGGGCGCCUGUCCCGCCGUUUUCGCGCGCGGACUCGCCUCAAAGUCAUUGGCGGCGGUCGUGCCGGCCCCCUCGCGCAGCACAUUUGCGCUUCUCGGAGGCCCGGCGGAUCCGCGCUCCAGCAAGACCUUUCACGACUUGACCUCGGAUCAGGUAGGGAUACCCGCUGAACUUAAGCAUAUAAUAAGCGGAGGA
rnacentral:misc_RNA from 1 species